rnacentral:rRNA from 1 species
ACGGGUGAGUAAUGCCUAGGAAUCUGCCUGGUAGUGGGGGAUAACGUUCGGAAACGGACGCUAAUACCGCAUACGUCCUACGGGAGAAAGCAGGGGACCUUCGGGCCUUGCGCUAUCAGAUGAGCCUAGGUCGGAUUAGCUAGUUGGUGAGGUAAUGGCUCACCAAGGCGACGAUCCGUAACUGGUCUGAGAGGAUGAUCAGUCACACUGGAACUGAGACACGGUCCAGACUCCUACGGGAGGCAGCAGUGGGGAAUAUUGGACAAUGGGCGAAAGCCUGAUCCAGCCAUGCCGCGUGUGUGAAGAAGGUCUUCGGAUUGUAAAGCACUUUAAGUUGGGAGGAAGGGCAGUUACCUAAUACGUGAUUGUUUUGACGUUACCGACAGAAUAAGCACCGGCUAACUCUGUGCCAGCAGCCGCGGUAAUACAGAGGGUGCAAGCGUUAAUCGGAAUUACUGGGCGUAAAGCGCGCGUAGGUGGUUUGUUAAGUUGGAUGUGAAAUCCCCGGGCUCAACCUGGGAACUGCAUUCAAAACUGACUGACUAGAGUGUGGUAGAGGGUGGUGGAAUUUCCUGUGUAGCGGU